AUGAUAGUCAAUAACAAACAAAGAGAGAAAAAAAUCACUUUUGUGCAACCAUUCUUCUUUUCUCUUUUUCUCCAUACCCUUUCUUCUUCGUUCAUGCAUCCUACUUAUGUUCAAAUAACCAAUAAACAAAACAAGCACAUCAUGAGAAAAUACAAAGAAAUUUUUUUACUUCCUCGUAUAAACAUGGUGGGUGCGAUUGAAGGGUGUGGCAGCCGUGGUGAAGCGUCAUCCGCGUCGGUUCCGCGAAUAAGAGAUUUGCAGAGUAUUUUCUUUGAUCUGCUUUGUAUGUGA